UACAGAGGGUGCGAGCGUUAAUCGGAAUUACUGGGCGUAAAGGGUGCGUAGGUGGUUAUUUAAGUCAGAUGUGAAAGCCCUGGGCUCAACCUAGGAAUUGCAUUUGAUACUGAGUAGCUAGAGUAUGGUAGAGGGAAGUGGAAUUUCCGGUGUAGCGGUGAAAUGCGUAGAUAUCGGAAGGAACAUCAGUGGCGAAGGCGGCUUCCUGGACUGAUACUGACACUGAGGCACGAAAGCAUGGGGAGCGAACAGG
rnacentral:rRNA from 1 species